rnacentral:rRNA from 1 species
AUUGAACGCUAGCGGGAUGCCUUACACAUGCAAGUCGAACGGAGUGGCGAACGGGUGAGUAAUGUAUCGGAACGUGCCCAGUAGCGGGGGAUAACUACGCGAAAGCGUAGCUAAUACCGCAUACUAGUGGAGCGGCCGAUAUCGGAUUAGCUAGUUGGUGGGGUAACGGCUGACCAAGUCGACGAUCCGUAGCGGGUUUGAGAGGACGACCAGCCAAACUGGAACUGAGACACGGUCCAGACUCCUACGGGAGGCAGCAGUGGGUAAUAUUGCACAAUGGGCGCAAGCCGGAUGCAGCCAUGCCGCGUGUAUGAAGAGGGCCUUCGGGUUGUAAAGUACUUUCAUCGAGGAGGAGUUACGCGCAGAUGAUGCACCGGCUAACUCCGUGCCAGCAGCCGCGGUAAUAC